AACGUAGGAUCCGAGCGUUAUCCGAAUUCACUGGGCGUAAAGCGCGAGCAGGCGGUCUGGUAAGUUGGGUGUGAAAACUCCUGGCUCAACUGGGAGAGGACGUUCAAUACUAUCGGACUAGAGGGCAGUAGAGGGAGGUGGAAUUCCCGGUGUAGUGGUGAAAUGCGUAGAUAUCGGGAGGAACACCAGUGGCGAAAGCGGCCUCCUGGGCUGUACCUGACGCUGAGAUGCGAAAGCUAGGGGAG
rnacentral:rRNA from 1 species